rnacentral:lncRNA from 10 species
GAGAUCAGCCCAGUCUCCAUGUGAUGAAGCAGAUCACAGAUCCUCCCCGGAUACACGUUUACCCCAAGAUGAGAGCAGGCUAAGAGCUGAGAGUGGAAAGAAUAUUGAUUGAACAUCUACUCAAGAACUGCAAAACAGAGAUUACCUGACCUAAAGAUGAAUCCAGGAUUCGGUGGUGCCUGUUCCAGGAACCUUUAGUGUGAAGGAUCCUCCAGAUACAAGGGAGCAAGCAAGUUGCACCCAACCUAAUAGUAAAUUGCAGGGACAUUUCCAUUCUAAGGAAGGAAUUUUUGUGUGUGUUGCAACUCAGCUUCUGCUCUGGCAUUUUGCUGUGCAUUUAUAUUGCCAAUCAUGUUGGAGAGUCCAUGUGGUGAUUUCUGAAAACGAGAUGUGAGAAAGAAGAGGAUAAUUUAAGUCUAGACCUACAGAUUGUGCUGAUAAAGUGAUGAAGAACUACAAUCUUCUUAGUCAUUUCAUUGUAUAAGUGCAAUAAAGGGUAUGUAAUAAAUUUGUAUGUUCAUAUUUACAACG